AUUGAACGCUGGCGGCAUGCCUUACACAUGCAAGUCGAACGGCAGCACGGGAGCAAUCCUGGUGGCGAGUGGCGAACGGGUGAGUAAUAUAUCGGAACGUGCCCGGUCGUGGGGGAUAACGUAGCGAAAGCUACGCUAAUACCGCAUACGAUCUACGGAUGAAAGCGGGGGAUCGCAAGACCUCGCGCGAUUGGAGCGGCCGAUAUCAGAUUAGGUAGUUGGUGAGGUAAAGGCUCACCAAGCCGACGAUCUGUAGCUGGUCUGAGAGGACGACCAGCCACACUGGGACUGAGACACGGCCCAGACUCCUACGGGAGGCAGCAGUGGGGAAUUUGGACAAUGGACGCAAGUCUGAUCCAGCCAUUCCNCGUGCAGGA
rnacentral:rRNA from 1 species